GUUUCUUCUUCCUAAAAGAAAUCAAUAUAAGCACAGGUCCUGGACUAUUUCUGUUAUGAACAGCAUCCAAGACCAGCAAGAAGGAUCUUGGCUAUGUUUUGCCACAUGGUGCAACCCUAGCUGGAUUGUCAGGAAGUUUUCCUUCCAUCACAAGCUUUCUGAGCAAACCCAAUCCUUACCUGAGACUUCUGGGAACUGAUGUGACCAAGUUUCAUAAGGAUCUGGUUGUGUGUCUGUUCUACGUGGUCUAUUUCUUCAUCUGUCUUAGAUGCACAGUGGUAAUGGAAGACUGGUGUGCCUUUUCUGUCAGCCUGAAAAAAUUCUUCAGCAGCUUCAGAUGUGCUAACACAUUCUGCCUGCCAAGUUCAGGGUGAUCGGAGCAUCUGACAGACAGCAACUUCCGUGUGUUAAACAUUAAUAGCUUUCCAGCUUUGCCUCUGGAUUUUUUUUGCUAAGACCUGAGCUGUCUCUGCAGAUGUCAGUCCACGACAGCACAAUUACUUCCCAAACUCAGCACUUCUGAGGAGGCCUGAUGGUGUCAGCACAGAAAGGGAAAGGAUUGCCUGAGAGUGAUUAAAGGAAACAUUGGGGCAUGAAGAGACUUAAUCAAGGUUCUACUGCAUGGCACAGGCAGAGGGCAGCUGUGGACAUGCGCAGUCCCCACUGAGGAAGGACCAAAAGAAGGAUGCUGCAGAGAUUAAAACCUCAUUUUUUGGGAAGCUUCUUGAGCUUGUCAAUAACAGUUGAAGUAGAAAGGGAAGUACGGUCUCUGCAAGCGAUGCAAACAAUGUAAG